CCUACGGGCGGCAGCAGUGGGGAAUAUUGCACAAUGGGGGAAACCCUGAUGCAGCGACGCCGCGUGAGUGAAGAAGUAUUUCGGGAUUUAAAACUCUAUCAGCAGGGAAGAAAAUGACGGUACCUGAUUAAGAAGCCCCAGCUCACUACGUGCCAGCAGCGGCUGUAAUACGUAGGGGGACAGCGUUAACCGGGUGUCCUGGGUGUAAAGGGAGCGUAGACGGCAGCGCAAGUCUGAAGUGAAAUGCCGUGUCUUAAACCCGGGACUGCUUUGGAAACUGUGCGGCUAGAGUGCAGGAGAGGUAAGUGGAAUUCGUAGUGUAGCGGUGAAAUGCGUAGAUAUUAGGAGGAACACCAGUGGCGAAGGCGGCUUACUGGACUGUAACUGACGUUGAGGCUCGAAAGCGUGGGGAGCAAACAGGAUUAGAUACCCCAGUAGUC
rnacentral:rRNA from 1 species